rnacentral:rRNA from 1 species
UACGAAGGGGGCGAGCGUUGCUCGGAAUUACUGGGCGUAAAGGGCGCGUAGGCGGCACUGUUAGUCAGGCGUGAAAGUCCUGGGCUCAACCUGGGAACUGCGCUUGAUACGGCAGAGCUAGAGGAUGGAAGAGGCUCGCGGAAUUCCCAGUGUAGAGGUGAAAUUCGUAGAUAUCUGGAGGAAUACCGGUGGCGAAGGCGGCAUCCUGGACCAUAACUGACGCUGAGGCGCGAAAGCUAGGGGAGCAAACGGG